UGAAUAGUGUAUAGACAGAAUGUUGCUCAGUGCUGUCAAAGUCCUGGGGAUAACUAUAAAACCAAUUUUGUAAUUUCAUCCUGAAUAUUGAUUUAACAUAUUAUCUCACAAUGAGCCUUCACCCUCAAUACACGGACAAAGAGUACAAGGGGGCUUAGGUCAGUUUUUACCUGACAACUGUAUCACUUAGACACCUCUGCAUUUGUCAUGGUGGUAAUGCAGGAUUCUGAAUGAAUAGUGACAAUCCUGUGAAGAAGCAAGUGGAAAGUCUCAAACUUUUAUCUCAUUUUGACGUGAUAGGGUCAAAGCAUACAAUGUGUUCGCCUUCCUAUGAUCAGUGACGACAUUUUUUGGAAAGUGUGUGUGUGUGAGUGCGUGCGUGCGUGAGAGAGAGAGCGAGAGAGAGAGAGAGAGAGACAGACAGACAGACAGACAGACAGACACAGAAAUCCGAACACUUUGUUUGCACCCUUUAGCUAACAGCUGCACUUUUUGGUGGACCACAACUAUCGACUCUUCCUGCUCGUGCUGAGGAGGUAUGAGCUGAUGUCAUCAUUGGAUGAGGAUGCUCUCACGCGGUUAAGUAUUUUCCAGUUACCACGCAAAAGUGCGUUGUUGCUGCUAACUCCUGUGAAACAUUUGCCUCGUCGCCACGUUCGUCUACUUAGAGAAGCGAGAGGGAGAUGCCGAUAAUGAAAUGACGGUUCGUCUGUAAGUACCGCGAGAGAGACGUAGAACGUCCCAGAUUCAGGCGAAUUAGAACUGCGCAGUCCGUGUUGGAUCGCCGUUUCAUCAGUCUCCUAAGGCCAACGUGGUAUCCUCAAUCAUGCCUGGCAAAGGAAACAGCAGCAUUAUGGAUGUAACACUGCUGCCAGACAUGAUCUCUUCAUUGCGGGGGAGGACCAGAAACAGAGAGCCCAUAUCCAUUAGAGACACCCCACCAGGCUGUCAGUGUGGUAUCCGUACUGGGCCGCAUGGCCUCGGUGACACGACUCAUGAACCCG
rnacentral:lncRNA from 1 species